UACGUAGGGGACGAGCGUUGUCCGGAUUCAUUGGGCGUAAAGCGCGCGUAGGCGGCUCGGAAAGUCGGUCGUGAAAUGCCGGGGCUCAACCCCGGGACUGCGUCCGAUACUUCCGGGCUGGAGGUAGGUAGGGGAGAUCGGAAUUCCUGGUGUAGCGGUGGAAUGCGCAGAUAUCAGGAAGAACACCCGUGGCGAAGGCGGCUCUCUGGAACGCAACUGACGCUGAGACGCGAAAGCGUGGGGAGCAAACAGG
rnacentral:rRNA from 1 species